GACGAACGCUGGCGGCGUGCUUAACACAUGCAAGUCGUACGGUAAGGCCCUUUCGGGGGUACACGAGUGGCGAACGGGUGAGUAACACGUGAGUAACCUGCCCACAACUUUAGGAUAACGCUAGGAAACUGGUGCUAAUACUGGAUAUGUGCUCCUGCUGCAUGGUGGGGGUUGGAAAGCUCCGGCGGUUGUGGAUGGACUCGCGGCCUAUCAGCUUGUUGGUGGGGUAGUGGCCUACCAAGGCGGCGACGGGUAGCCGGCCUGAGAGGGUGACCGGCCACAUUGGGACUGAGAUACGGCACAGACUCCUACGGGAGGCAGCAGUGGGGAAUAUUGAACAAUGGGCGCAAGCCUGAUGCAGCAACGCCGCGUGCGGGAUGACGGCCUUCGGGUUGUAAACCGCUUUCAGCAGGGACGAAGCUUUUUGUGACGGUACCUGCAGAAGAAGCACCGGCUAACUACGUG
rnacentral:rRNA from 1 species